rnacentral:lncRNA from 1 species
CUUUUUGCCACUUCUAUUCUGCACAAAAAUGUUUUAAGUUCUUGUUUUUGGAAUGAAGAUUGGGCAUUUGCUUAUUUAGAAAGAAAUGUUAACGAAUUUUCUUUUUAUGACCAACCUAUCUUUUCAAAGUGAUGCUGACUAUCUGGAGAUUGAAAAUUGUUGCAAAGUAUUUUAGUGGUUCUGUCAAAAACAAAAUUUGAAAAAAGUAACUGUCUAGACUCUUCUAUGAUUCCUUUAUUUUUCCUAAUGAGUUCAGCAUUUAAAAACAUCAGUAGUUAGCAAGAAAAUUUAAAAAAAUGAACCAUAUUCCAUUUUCCAACAAACACAAAAUCUUUAAAUCAUCCUUGGUCAUUUCUGUCUCAAAAGCAAUAACCUUGGAAUUUGAAGAGAAAAGUGACAGUAGCCAUAUAUUCAUGUGGGUAAAAGUCAAGGAAGCAAAGAAUAUGAAUAAGAUGUCAAAAUGUCAAAAAAAAAAAAAUAAGUCACUCUUUAAAAUGUUGAGAAGCUAAAUUCUAGCAGAAAUUAUAUUUCUAAUCCUAGGUUUUAUUGUCUUGCAUUCAUAACAGAGCAUACCCUGCCCCAUGUUUGACAUACUUCCCAAUUCUUUAAGCUCCUUCUUGUAUUUCAGUUAUCUCCCUACAUUUAAAUAAACAAAGCACACCCUAAUGCCUGUAAGAAUUUGCAUAAUUUGACAGAUGUCUAUUGAUCUUUAGAAACUCCUUAGAAAAUCUGUGCAUAUUUUUGAUAUCUCUAGGUUGAACUAUUGUAAUAUAUUAAUAUCAUAGAAGAAUUUCUUUAAUAUAAUUCAUUUAUUUAUUUAUUCAAAUUUCCUCAUCAGAACAUUUUAUUAUUGCUUAUACUGGAUUUUCUGUGAAAAUUUUCUGUCAUGUAAUGAAUAGUAGUGAUUCACAAUGCCUGCUCCUAGACUAUAAAAAUAUAGCUGAUAAAUGUAAUUUAAAGAAAGAUUUCUAGGGCUGGGGCUGUAGCUCAUUGACUGAGGGCUUGCAUUGCACAUGC